CCAAAUGCAAAGAGAAUAAAAUUAAAGGCAUCCGCUUCAAAAUUAAACCCCAACAUAUGGGAGGAUGAGGUUGUUACAGAGGAGAGUAUUGUACCUAAUGACAUAACAAAAUAUUUAAAUCUUAAAAUCUCAAUUGGGGAAGAAGAGGAUAUUCUUCAAACGGAUAUCCUACUUUGGUGGAAACGACAAGAAAGAGAUUUGCCAAAGCUAUCAAGAUAUACAAGAAAAAUAUUGGCAAUUCCUGCAACUAGAGCUUCUUCCGAACGCGGAUUUAGCAUUCUGGAAGAUUUUUAGAACA